rnacentral:sRNA from 1 species
AACCUCCUUACGGCGCACAGCUUUCAGCUCACCACCGUCGCUGGGAGAGUUCGCGACAUCGAGAGCAACUUGGAUCGUCGCGAUGUCUGCCCAGAGAGACAUGAACCCCUCCGUGGCCCAAUAUUCAGAUAGAUCUCAGCUGCCCGCGCCGAAUCCAUGUUAACUUACCCCGCCAACCCAUCCACCGAAUAUCUUCAUAGUCCAUGCAUGGCGAUCCUUGAUUCCGUUCGUCCUAUUUUUGCAUGCCCUUCAGCAUUCCAUUCAUCACCCCAGUGUGCACUUUGUACCAUCCCCAUCUCUGACAACCAGAAAUGAAAUGGGCUUCUCCAGUAUCAAGAGAUGCAAACCCCACCGGAACAUGCAGAUUGUAGAAAGGCACGAAUCUGCUGCAGCUUGUUCACUAAGAAUAGAUAGCUGCUCUGCUCUCCUGCAGCACUUCGUCCCGCCUGUCCCACCCGUCGUCUGCAAAGUUGAUAGCAUUUGAAUGUAUGGUUGCAACUACGAACCGUUGAGUAGCCAAUCUUCAGGUUUGAAUUCGCCAUCAACGUCAGGGAGCAUGAAAAAAGGCCCCUUCUCAUUCAUUUGUCAAUCUUCUUUUCCCCUCAUUUUCAUUUUCAUUUUCAUUUCAUUUUCCUUCCUUCUUUAAUUUCAUUUCGUUUUUAUUUUUCAUUUCAUUUAAUUAUUUUUGAUGAUGCAGAUAUCGCU